AUGGAUGAUAUCGUCCAACAGCACGGCUGCUCGCCCUCCUCCGCCUCUACCUCUGUGGACCAUGGAUUUGUGUACGAAGUGAUGAAUCGAACAAGGAGGAAGGGAAUGCUUGAUCUUCAGCCAUUUCUUGACUCUGAAACCCAGAAGAGAGAUGUCUAUGGAGCUUGGGAACAAUAUCUUGGGUUGGAGCGGACUGAUACUGCAAUAAAAGGGCCUAUACAGCCUAUCAGGGACAUGCAUCUCAAUAUAUCAUUGCUCUGUUCUGGUGGUUUUAUGUACCUGCAGAACAUCACACACAUGAGAAGGCAGUGA
rnacentral:rRNA from 1 species